AGUAGAUUGUUUUCUGUAAAAUAUGUUUUGCAUUCUCACCAGAAGCGAUCGAUAUUAAUUUUUCGAAAAGUUGAUUCGUCGUUGUAUGUUAAUAGGAACUUACAUAUUAUUAAAAAACAUAAUAGGUAUUAAGUGUGUAAUUUUACAACUGUGUCUUUAGUUCAUAGCCUUGGAAGAAUUACCAGACUCAAUUAAUAUACUACUCUGUGGCAGUUUGUCAAUCUUUAUAUUUUACAAGUGUGAUAAAAAUCAAACUUAUAUUAUUUAAAAAGUCUUCACUUAUUUAAAAUACAUCUUCCUGGAUUGAUUUCGACUUCGAACAACAAAUAAAUUUCUUAAUUCUGGUACUAGUGACUAGGACUAUUACACAGCUGAAUAAUAUUAAAGAAGUGCGAAACUAGCUAAGAAUUCAAAUUAAAGUGGAUGAUUGUAACUGCGGUACCAACAUCAAAAUAGAGAAAGAAAAUAAGGAUACAAUAAAGCGCUUUACUGAAGCCUUAGUGAAAGAAACAAAACUGUAUAACAUUGAAAAAUCAUACAAAAGUUGUUUUACAACCCACAAUGAUAAAAAAAAACAAUAAUUGAGGAUUCUUAUAAAGUUACUGAAGAGAAAAUUAAAGACGAACUGAUGAUUAUAACAGCUGUCCCCUAAACAAAAUAGAUGAACAAAAAGAAGAUAUAAAAGAGCACAUUACAGAAGCCUUAAAGAUCGAACCAAGUCUGACUUACUUGGAAAAAUCACAUAAUAGCUGCGAGACAGUCCAGAACGAUCUUCAUAACACAUUCGACGGGAUUUCAUACAAUAUGGAAGAAACGUACAAAGAAACUGUAGUCAAAGAAGAAAUUGAUUUAGUUGAUGGAAAUUAUUUUGAGUCAACAACAAACUACGAUUUGGACGAGAUACAACUAUAUGUCUGCGAUUAGAUAUUUUUAAUUUAUUUUUUGUUUACUUAAAUCUUUGUACAUGUUUAUGUAACUUUAUUUAUUUAUUUGAAUAAUUAUAAGACAGUUAAAUAUUUA